AUACGGAGGAUCCGAGCGUUAUCCGGAUUUAUUGGGUUUAAAGGGUGCGCAGGCGGCCAUUUAAGUCAGCGGUUAAAUCGUGGGGCUCCACCCCAUUCUGCCGUUGAUACUGGGUGGCUUGAUUGCGGUCGAGGUUGGCGGAAUUCGUUGUGUAGCGGUGGAAUGCAUAGAUAUGACGAAGAACACCGAUUGCGUAGGCAGCUGACCAGACCGCAAAUGACGCUCAUGCACGAAAGUGCGGGGAUCGAACAGGAUUAGAUACCCUGGUAGUCCGCACAGUAAACGAUGAAUACUUGUUUUCGGCGAUAUAAUGUCGGAGGCAAAGCGAAAGCGAUAAGUAUUCCACCUGGGGAGUACGCCGGCAACGGUGAAACUCAAAGGAAUUGGCGGGG
rnacentral:rRNA from 1 species